AACAGAUUUACUUCGGUAAUGACGUUAGGAAAGCGAGCGGCGGAUGGGUGAGUAACACGUGGGGAACCUGCCCCAUAGUCUGGGAUACCACCUGGAAACAGGUGCUAAUACCGGAUAAGAAAGCAGAUCGCAUGAUCAGCUUUUAAAAGGCGGCGUAAGCUGUCGCUAUGGGAUGGCCCCGCGGUGCAUUAGCUAGUUGGUAAGGUAAAGGCUUACCAAGGCGAUGAUGCAUAGCCGAGUUGAGAGACUGAUCGGCCACAUUGGGACUGAGACACGGCCCAAACUCCUACGGGAGGCAGCAGUAGGGAAUCUUCCACAAUGGACGCAAGUCUGAUGGAGCAACGCCGCGUGAGUGAAGAAGGUUUUCGGAUCGUAAAGCUCUGUUGUUGGUGAAGAAGGAUAGAGGUAGUAACUGGCCUUUAUUUGACGGUAAUCAACCAGAAAGUCACGGCUAACUACGUGCCAGCAGCCGCGGUAAUACGUAGGUGGCAAGCGUUGUCCGGAUUUAUUGGGCGUAAAGCGAGCGCAGGCGGAAGAAUAAGUCUGAUGUGAAAGCCCUCGGCUUAACCGAGGAACUGCAUCGGAAACUGUUUUUCUUGAGUGCAGAAGAGGAGAGUGGAACUCCAUGUGUAGCGGUGGAAUGCGUAGAUAUAUGGAAGAACACCAGUGGCGAAG
rnacentral:rRNA from 1 species